rnacentral:rRNA from 1 species
CGUACACUCCUGCGGGAGGCAGCAGUGGGGAAUAUUGCACAAUGGGCGCAAGCCUGAUGCAGCCAUGCCGCGUGUAUGAAGAAGGCCUUCGGGUUGUAAAGUACUUUCAGCGGGGAGGAAGGCAAUACGGUUAAUAACCGUGUUGAUUGACGUUACCCGCAGAAGAAGCACCGGCUAACUCCGUGCCAGCAGCCGCGGUAAUACGGAGGGUGCAAGCGUUAAUCGGAAUUACUGGGCGUAAAGCGCACGCAGGCGGUCUGUCAAGUCGGAUGUGAAAUCCCCGGGCUCAACCUGGGAACUGCAUUCGAAACUGGCAGGCUUGAGUCUUGUAGAGGGGGGUAGAAUUCCAGGUGUAGCGGUGAAAUGCGUAGAGAUCUGGAGGAAUACCGGUGGCGAAGGCGGCCCCCUGGACAAAGACUGACGCUCAGGUGCGAAAGCGUGGGGAGCAAACAGGAUUAGAAACCCUAGUAGUCCCA